CCAAUAAAGCUUGACAAAGCCAACGAGUGAGUCAGUGGCAAAGGCCAGAAUUAGUCCACUCGAUUGACUAUAACAUUCCCUGCAAAUCUAAUGAGGCAGGUCCUGUGCCAAGUAAAGGGACGCAGACCUCGCAUAUCUGGGUCCUUCCUGACCCGGGUUCCUCCUACCUCUGCGGUAAGGGCAGGGCAAACCCCGUGCAACGACCUGAGCACCUAGCUCCCUCGGUGAAGGGCAGUCUCUUUCACCAGGUCCUGGCCUUUCCCAGCUGAGGCAAAUCGUUGUUGUCCUAGAGACUUCUUUUCCCCCUUGUAACAGAUAAAAUGUUUUUGAACGAUUCCUGGCCUGUGUUUCCUCACGAUAAGCUGGUUUCUGUUUCCUGAACCCUUUCCACUCUGGGAGCAAGGGCAGGAGUCGCCUCCGGAAGAAAGAGGAUAUGAUGAAGGGGAAUGUUCUGUCAGACAGGAAGGGGAGGGGCAAAGUCUACCCUUCUUCUUAGGGUCAUUGCAGACCAGAGAGGAGCUGGAGGUAUGAGACUGCAGGGUUAUGUGUGUUCCAAUGUUCUUUUUGGGGUCUGAGUCAAACUAUGGUUGGGACAGAGGAGAAUGCGAUAUGGGUACCCAAGCUGCUGUUGAUUCUCAAGAAGUGGACCAGACCCAGACGCUCCCGCAGGAACUGAAAGGCUGCAUUUAAAAUAAAGUGGGCCUCUGGGAGCCAUGGAUUUCAGGAUGAUUAUCACUAUCUCUAGAGAAAUUAAUUACAGGAAAAUAGCAGUUACUACUGUGGCUCUCCACUUGAUUUCCAUCACUCAGUCUGUCAACUAUACUCUCAUAGUGGCCAUGACCUUUACAUUCUGCUCUGAAACUAAAGUUGACCCUUGAACAGUACAGGUUUGAACCAUGCGGGUCCACUUAUAUGUGGAUUUUUUUCAGUAAAUACA